GACGGAGGGUGCUAGCGUUGUUCGGAAUCACUGGGCGUAAAGGGCGCGUAGGCGGCCUUGCAAGUCGGUUGGUGAAAGCCCGGGCGUCAACCCCGGGAGGUGCCGGCCGAGACUGCAGGGCUGGAGGCCGGAAGAGGAGGGUGGAAUACCCAGUGUAGAGGUGAAAUUCGUAGAUAUUGGGUGGAACACCGGUGGCGAAAGCGGCUCUCUGGUCCGGACCUGACGCUGAGGCGCGAAAGCGUGGGGAGCAAACAGG
rnacentral:rRNA from 1 species